rnacentral:Y_RNA from 1 species
GGGUUGCCCAAGUGCAGUGGUGUUUACAACUAAUUGAUCACAACCAGUUACAGAUUCCUUUGUUCCUUCUCCACUCCCACUGCUCCACUUGACCAGCCUUUA